CACCAGCUCUUCAAGUGGUCGGGAUAAUUAUUGGGCUUAAAGUGUCCGUAGCUGGUAGGGUAAGUUCCUGGUAAAAUUGGGCAGCUUAACUGUCCUUAUGCUAGGAAUACUCCUCUACUAGAGGGCGGGAGAAGUCUGAGGUACUACAGGGGUAGGGGUGAAAUCUUAUAAUCCUUGUAGGACCACCAGUGGCGAAAGCGUCAGACCGGAACGCGCCUGACAGUGGGGGACGAAAGCCAGGGGAGCGAACCGGAUUAGAUACCCGGGUAGUCCUGGCCGUAAACGAUGCGCACUAGGUGAUGGUGCGGCUAUGAGCCGCAUCAGUGUCGUAGGGAAACCGUUAAGUGUGCCGCCUGGGAAGUACGGUCGCAAGGCUUAAACUUAAAGGAAUUGGCGGGGGGAGCACCACAAGGGGGUGAAGCCUGCGGUUC
rnacentral:rRNA from 1 species